AACAUAGUGCCUGACUUAAAAGGGUAGUUUUGAUAGAACUAAUCAUGUAAUUUUUACCUGUGUUA
rnacentral:tRNA from 1 species